rnacentral:rRNA from 1 species
UACGAAGGGGACUAGCGUUGUUCGGAAUCACUGGGCGUAAAGCGCACGUAGGCGGAUUUGUAAGUCAGGGGUGAAAUCCCGGGGCUCAACCUCGGAACUGCCUUUGAUACUGCGAAUCUAGAGUCCGAUAGAGGUGGGUGGAAUUCCUAGUGUAGAGGUGAAAUUCGUAGAUAUUAGGAAGAACACCGGUGGCGAAGGCGGCCCACUGGAUCGGUACUGACGCUGAGGUGCGAAAGCGUGGGGAGCAAACAGG